GAGAGGAAGGUAGUAACCUAAUAAUACGUCAGCGACUGGUAUGUUUGCCUGCCCUUUUUUUAUUUUGCUUGUCAAUGUAUUUUUUCCAUUUGAGUUUUCUGUUGAUAAGCCUCAGAGUUUUGGUAGGCGCCUAGUGGUGGAAUGGUUGGGCUGGAAUCGGAAUUGAGAUGUGAUGUUAACGGGCCAUCGUGCAUCUUUUUUAAAUUUUGAGCAAUUUGAGUACGCUAGUGCCACUAUGCAUGUUUCAUGUAUACAUGUAUGCGCGGUUUCUGUUCUUGUCGUACUUAUAGAUCGCUACGUUAUUUCAAUUUUGAAAAUCUGAGUCCUGGGAGUGCGGAGCCAUGCAUACAUGUACUUUAUUGUUGCAUAGUAUUGCUAGAGUACACUUUCUCCAUGAUUGUCUGUCUUCUUUACACCAGUUCUGUUUUCUGUCUUAACCUCUUCACUAUCAUGGAAAGUUUCUACCAUUACCACACCCACACACGAACAUUAAGGCUAAUCGUUAUUAGUUCAAUCUCCAUAGCCACACUCUUUUUUUCUUCCAAUAUUUUCCGUCGCUUUCCAAGUGACAGAAAAAAAAAGGAGUUUGAAUUAGGCUUGCAAAAGGGACAAUAUAUAUGAUACUGUCACUCCUAAUGUCUAAUUUAUCGUCAACUCUGUAAAGGAAGCAAGAAAGAGAAAGGUUGCUGGAAAUAAAAUUUGUACAAACAAGACGGUUUAUUCUAGUUAUUCCAUUUUUCAGUAGAUUUUUGCCUUUUACUAGAGUCAAUUUAACCAGUAUAAAAGGUUCAAGGAAAAAUCUAUUCACUGAACUUAUCACGAAACCUCAAAUGUGUCAGACGCAUUAAAAAGAUAAAUCAAAAAAACGGUAUGCAAGCGAGUCAAAAGACUGGUACUCCCUUCGUUUCCUGUCCCAUUUUGCCUCAAGCAUUGAAUAAGUUUGCGAGCGAAUAAUAACCGGGGAAAUGAUACAAGAGAAAAUCCAUAAUUUGGGAUCUUCUUGGAUGGAUUCAUUUAUGUAUUUAUUUGCUCAUUUUUGAGGAUCAAUACAAUAUUCUUGUCCUAUCCUUGCUAAAGUAAAGAACGGGCAUUAAUUUCUGAACGGAAAGAAUUGUGUGUUCACUUUAUGGUUUUCGCAUUGUACAUUUUUCAACUUGCAUGAGCAGUCGGUUUCCUCAAUACUUUUUCGGUGCUUACGAAUAAUUUUUGGAACUUCAAUU
rnacentral:telomerase_RNA from 14 species